AUUGUAUGCAGUACUUGAAAUUUGCUAAGAGAGUAGAAUUUAAGUGUUCUCACCACACACCAAAAAAUGUGAGAUGUUGAGGUGAUAGAUACAUUAAUUAGCUUGAUUGUACUAAUCAUUUCAGAAUGUAAACAACUAUCAAAACAUCACGAUACACCUUAAAUAUGUUUAAUUUUUAUUUGUCAAUUAUAGCUAAAUAGAGCUGAAAAAUGAUGAAAGACCAAACAUAUAGAGAAUUUAGCAUGGCAUUUGCAGUCUUUUUUCUAUUUUUAUCCAAGUGUGGCUUUGGAAGUUGAGGUCUGGUGAGUCUUUAUUCUCACGUUCUUUAUAUGAGAUGUUUUAUCCUGAAAAAGAGUGACAAUUUCUAUUUCUCCUGCAAUUGUGGACUCUUUAAAUGCCCAGUUUGCCUUUCACCUUAGGACAGUGCUAUUGAGUAGUACACGAAAAUAUAUUCCAGGCCUGUAGCCCAGGUUCAGAAGUGUAAAGCAUGAGAUUAAAGAGUCACAAAGCAGGCUGGCUUCGGAGAUAUUGACAGGUAGAUUGUGUGGCAGCAAAAAGGUGAGGCAGAGAGACUGUGAGGGUUUAGGUGGGCAGGCACAGUGUAGCAUUUUUGGAAAUGCACCAUUAGGGAUCUGAAACGGCAUGAAAGGAUUGAACGCAGAAAACUGAGAUCUGAUGUAACAAGUAGUGGAUAACACAGGAAGCAGGCUCCACACACUGUACACAGAAGACUGACAUGUGAGUUGCCUGGUUAUAUAUCUAAGAAUGUAAUUCAGUCCAGAUUUGACCACCCAAGUCUAUUCAAGUCCAUCCAAACAUUUUCCAAUUCACCAAGACUGUCAGGGUGCAAACCUGACUCUUCUUAGGCAACAUUCUGUUCAAGCCAGGUCUGGAGCUUGUGGUGUUUCUCAAAACACAAUCUGUGCACACCUUCAAUAAGAAUCACUUUAGCAGCUCUUAAAAAUUCAUACUCCUGGGACUCUUUCACAGCUAUUCUGACUCAGAAGUCCUGGUGUGGAUCUUAAGAAUUUCAAUUGUCUUAGAAUUCCUGAUCCAAGAUGACCAGUGACAAUGCUUCAUUCUCCUGGGCACAGAAAUUGAAUUACAGUUGGCAUAAGACAAACAGGGUUAAUAGGUAUCUUCUCCAGGAUUAAUAUAAGUACAUUUGGAGAGAGCAAUAUUCUUUCCACCAAUAUUGCUAAGCUUUGAGGAGCAGGGGUCUGAAGGAGCCUGAUUGUUGAAGCAAAACUUCCCGUUUACCUACUGAUUGGAGGGUUUUUGAGCAUCUGGAAGCCAGAACAAAAAUGCUUCUUUCCAUCCUAGACCAUCCAUCCUCCCGCUGACCUUCCAGAUGACUGCAGGUGCAUGAGCACGCCCAGCAGGGAUCAGCUGAGCAAAAUCACCUCGCCGAAUCAUAGGUACAUAGCCACUCUAAGCCACUAAAUUUUGAGCUUAUUAACUUACAGAAAAAACAGCCUGCUUGAUUCAUUUUUGCUAUCUUUGAAGUAGUGGAC
rnacentral:lncRNA from 1 species